rnacentral:lncRNA from 1 species
GUCGAUAUCCCUCCUACCGUCACGGCCCACCUCAGCAUUAUCACACCGAUGAGAACGAGAUCGGAGACGACAGCGACCAUGAAGAUCAUCCCAGGCGGAACAAGAAAAGCGGACAUAGCAUAAGCCCACUUCAGUCUCCCCAAAAAAGGAGGGGCACUUGGGACAGUGAGCGCCCCGCUCCCCCUCCCCCCAGAGUCAGUCCACCAUCAACCUCCUCUCAAGAGAAGGACUACGAUGGCACGUUCCUGAACAACCUGCUGGACCGCAAGGCUAAGUUGCGAGGGGUCAGCCAAGGGAAGAGCGGGGCCCGGGGCGAGGAGGAUUCGGACACGCCUUCCAAGGGCAGCUCGAAGAAGAGCGGCGGAGAGUCUGGUCGCCACUGCAGCCGCUCACCCAGCAACAGGCCCAAGGCGGAUUCGCUGCCUGCUUACUCCGACACAGAGCGAAGCAGAACGGACGGGCCGUGUCCACGGCCGCUGCCAGCAAACACUCGUUCCUCUCAGUCGCCUGCCCAUCUCCUGACCGGUCUCAGAGAGGAGCCCAGAGACAAGACCCGCAAAGUGAGCACUCUUCUCAGCCGGGACUCCCUCAUCGUCUGACGGACUGAGAGACUCACAAACUGGGCACUUAACUCUCUGCAGGAGCUGCAUGUCAGCAUGUUAUUUUAGAAAAUACCUUCAAUUGCAAAUAUAUGCAAUUGACAGUGCAGGAUGCUGAAUCAGCACCGACGGAAGAAGAAAUGGACAACAGAGACACUUUUACUAUUGAGACUGACACCGGGGAUUCUGCCUGUGACGUCGCCGAAGGAUGAAGUCAUCACUCUUCGGUUUCUGUCACCGGCUGCCUCAUAUGUACUGUAUAUAUAUCUCAGCCGGACUAACACAAAACUAGUGAGGGCUGGGUGCAGGCUAUGACCUGGACGCUGCUCAUCUCCUCCCGUCCCUUUAGAAAAGACUAGUUUACGCUUCCAGCACAAUGAGUGCAUUCAUUUCCACUUGAUGAGAUAUCGGCUUUAAAUAAG